rnacentral:rRNA from 1 species
UACGUAGGGGGCGAGCGUUGUCCGGAAUCAUUGGGCGUAAAGCGCGUGUAGGCGGCUCGGCAAGUCUGGUGUGAAAACUGGAGGCUCAACCUCCAGCUGUCGCUGGAUACUGCCGGGCUUGAGUCCGGAAGAGGAGAGUGGAAUUCCUGGUGUAGCGGUGGAAUGCGCAGAUAUCAGGAGGAACACCAAUGGCGAAGGCAGCUCUCUGGUACGUGACUGACGCUGAGACGCGAAAGCGUGGGGAGCGAACAGG